rnacentral:rRNA from 1 species
UGGAUCGAGGCUAAUACCCUAGCCCCUGGACGGUCCCUGCCAAGGACCCACCGGCUACCUCCGGGCCUACCGCCGUUCUGUACGCAGGGUGCAAGCGUUGUUCGGAAUUACUGGGCGUAAAGGGGGCGUAUGCCGCUUUUUAACUCAGAUGUGAAAUUCCACGGUUCAACCGUGGAAUUGCAUUUGAAACUGGGAAGCUCGAGUUCUGGAGGGGAUGGUGGAAUUCCCGGUGAAGAGGUGAAAUUCCUAAAUAUCGUGAGGAAUACCGGUGGCAAACGCAACCAUCUGGCCGUAUGGAGACACUAAGAUUCGAAACCGUGGGGAGCCACCCGGAUUAGAUUCCCUGGUAGUCCUCGCCGAAAACGAUGUCCGCUAGCUCUUGGAAUGGUUAAUCGCUUCAUUGCGGGAGCUAACGCCUUAAGUUGACCACCUGGGGAGUACGGUCGCAACAUU